CAAUAUCUGAAAACAGAGCAGCCACACAUGAGUGACAGCAUGGCACUGAGAGUCGGCAGCUUCUAACUCCAUGUUCUACAUAAGGGACCAAGGGUCUAACCUAUCCUAGAGCUUUUGAUAACUAGCCCACACAUCUAUCGAUGUGUUCCUGGAAGUCCCCUGCUCUAUAAGAAAAUGAUCUACACACUAGAAAUUGGUGGCUGUGCUCUCUGUAUCACAUUCUCUGGUGACCACGGACAGGCCACGAU